rnacentral:pre_miRNA from 1 species
AAUUCCAAUCCAAAAUCUAGGAGGCAGGUGCUCACUCGUCCUCCUCCAUGGUUAAAAAUACAGGGAGGAGGCCAGAGUGGCAACUGUCACUAUGAUUGUUUUCGUUGG